rnacentral:tRNA from 1 species
UAUAAUUCAAUGGUAGAGUGCUUGCCUGGCAAUGUGAGAAGCUCUGGGUUCAAUUCCCAGUA